rnacentral:rRNA from 1 species
GAUGAACGCUGGCGGCGUGCCUAAUACAUGCAAGUCGAGCGAACAGAUAAGGAGCUUGCUCCUUUGAAGUUAGCGGCGGACGGGUGAGUAACACGUGGGUAACCUACCUAUAAGACUGGGAUAACUUCGGGAAACCGGAGCUAAUACCGGAUAACAUUUAGAACCGCAUGGUUCUAAAGUGAAAGAUGGUUUUGCUAUCACUUAUAGAUGGACCCGCGCCGUAUUAGCUAGUUGGUAAGGUAACGGCUUACCAAGGCGACGAUACGUAGCCGACCUGAGAGGGUGAUCGGCCACACUGGAACUGAGACACGGUCCAGACUCCUACGGGAGGCAGCAGUAGGGAAUCUUCCGCAAUGGGCGAAAGCCUGACGGAGCAACGCCGCGUGAGUGAUGAAGGGUUUCGGCUCGUAAAACUCUGUUAUUAGGGAAGAACAAAUGUGUAAGUAACUGUGCACAUCUUGACGGUACCUAAUCAGAAAGCCACGGCUAACUACGUGCCAGCAGCCGCGGUAAUACGUAGGUG